AAGUCGAGGGGCAGCAUUUUAGUUUGCUUGCAAACUGAAGAUGGCGACCGGCGCACGGGUGAGUAACACGUAUCCCACCUGCCGAUAACUCCGGGAUAGCCUUUCGAAAGAAAGAUUAAUACCGGAUAGCAUACGAAUAUCGCAUGAUAUUUUUAUUAAAGAAUUUCGGUUAUCGAUGGGGAUGCGUUCCAUUAGUUUGUUGGCGGGGUAACGGCCCACCAAGACUACGAUGGAUAGGGGUUCUGAGAGGAAGGUCCCCCACAUUGGAACUGACACACGGUCCAAACUCCUACGGGAGGCAGCAGUGAGGAAUAUUGGUCAAUGGGCGCGAGCCUGAACCAGCCAAGUAGCGUGAAGGAUGAAGGCUCUAUGGGUCGUAAACUUCUUUUAUAUGGGAAUAAAGUUUUCCACGUGUGGAAUUUUGUAUGUACCAUAUGAAUAAGGGUCGGCUAACUCCGUGCCAGCAGCCGCGGUAAUACGGAGGAUCCGAGCGUUAUCCGGAUUUAUUGGGUUUAAAGGGAGCGUAAGCGGAUUGUUAAGUCAGUUGUGAAAGUUUGCGGCUCAACCGUAAAAUUGCAGUUGAAACUGGCAGUCUUGAGUACAGUAGAGGUGGGCGGAAUUCGUGGUGUAGCGGUGAAAUGCUUAGAUAUCACGAAGAACUCCGAUUGCGAAGGCAGCUCACUAGACUGUCACUGACACUGAUGCUCGAAAGUGUGGGUAUCAAACAGGAUUAGAUACCCUGGUAGUCCACACAGUAAACGAUGAAUACUCGCUGUUUGCGAUAUACAGUAAGCGGCCAAGCGAAAGCAUUAAGUAUUCCACCUGGGGAGUACGCCGGCAACGGUGAAACUCAAAGGAAUUGACGGGGGCCCGCACAAGCGGAGGAACAUGUGGUUUAAUUCGAUGAUACGCGAGGAACCUUACCCGGGCUUAAAUUGCAACAGAAUAUAUUGGAAACAGUAUAGCCGUAAGGCUGUUGUGAAGGUGCUGCAUGGUUGUCGUCAGCUCGUGCCGUGAGGUGUCGGCUUAAGUGCCAUAACGAGCGCAACCCUUAUCUUUAGUUACUAACAGGUCAUGCUGAGGACUCUAGAGAGACUGCCGUCGUAAGAUGUGAGGAAGGUGGGGAUGACGUCAAAUCAGCACGGCCCUUACGUCCGGGGCUACACACGUGUUACAAUGGGGGGUACAGAAGGCGGCUACCUGGUGACAGGAUGCUAAUCCCAAAAACCUCUCUCAGUUCGGAUCGAAGUCUGCAACCCGACUUCGUGAAGCUGGAUUCGCUAGUAAUCGCGCAUCAGCCAUGGCGCGGUGAAUACGUUCCCGGGCCUUGUACACACCGCCCGUCAAGCCAUGAAAGCCGGGGGUACCUGAAGUACGUAACCGCAAGGAGCGUCCUAGGGUAAGACUGGUAAUUGGGGCUAAGUC
rnacentral:rRNA from 1 species